AUGCUCAGCGAGAGCCCUUUGGCGAUGCGUCAGGAGAUGGGCGGCGUGAGAGGGGAGGAAGAGCCGGAGGACGAGCUUGACGCGCUGCUCCGUGCCGGUGGCGGCGGAGCGCGUCGGCGAGGUGAGGAGGCUGGUGAGAAGGAACGGCUCAGCAUAUUCCGAAGCGGGUCGGCGCCACCGACCAUAGAGGGUUCACUAAACGCCAUCGGCGGCCUGCUCCGCGGUGGUGGUGAGACGCCCCGGGCCGCUGCCGCCGUUCCUGACGCUGAGGAGUUGAACGGACAUGGCGGACUCCUGUCGGAGGAGGAGCUCCGGGCUGACCCAGCCUACCUGUCGUAUUACUACUCGCACGCCAAUCUUAACCCGAGGUUGCCACCGCCGGUCCUGACAAAGGAGGACUGGCGGUCAACACAGCGGCUGAAGGCAGGGGUAGGGGUGGUGGGAGGGAUUGGGGACAGGAGAAAGGCAGUGCAGGAAGAGGCUGGACAGGGGAUGGCCGCCGGGAUGUCGCUGUUCCCACAGAAUCCUGGUUUCGAUCGGGAGGAGCAUGGAAGCAAGGGUGUGGGCGGUGCUGCAGAGUGGGUCGAUAGAGGAGGUGAUGGGCUCAUUGGGUUAUCACUAGGACGGCAACGCAGCUUUGCUGAUAUGUUUCAGGAUAACCUUGGCCGCAGAACACCUACUUCAGAACAUCCCUCUCGUGCAGCCAGUCGCAAUUCAGUUGAUCCUUCUGAGAACCAAUACUCUUUACAUAAUGAUACUAUGGAUGCACAGCGCUCUGUUGGAAAUGCACAAAGUGUCGGCAGUCUUUCCAGUAUUAAUGCAUCUGCAUCUCAAACUUUUGCUUCUGUUCUGGGUUCAUCAGCUUCAAGGAAUGCGACACCAGAUUCCCAUUAUAUCCCUAGGGUUCCUAGCCCUGGCCUUCCACCUGUUGGCGCUAGGAUUAGUUCUAAUGAGAAGAGACUAAAUUGUUCAUCGUCAUCAUUCAACACAGUAUCAUCAAAAGCACUUGAGCCUGAUGAUAUAUUAACUGCACUAUCUAGCAUGAACUUGUCAAAAGGUGGCACUUUGAACAACAACAGCAACAUUAGUCAAUCAAAGUUUCAGAGAGAGAUAAGUGAUUACCAUAAUUUUGCUCUUGGCCCGCAAGCUGCUCAAGUCAGCAGUAGGCAGUAUUCUGCGAUGUUGGAAGCAGAUGCUGAAUAUGCAGGUGUACCAUCAAAUUCUUCAUUUGCUGAUAUUAAGAAUAGUGCACCUAAUCCAGCAGACUUCAGAGGUUCCACAAACACACGGUUUGAUGGACACGGGGAGAUAAAAAGAUCUUCUACUCUUUCUGCUCGUUCAUAUCAGAAGUCUCCACCAUCUUCUAAUGCAAGUCCAGGUGGUUCUCCUGCUCAACAUCAGAAUCUUGAUGGAACAAAUUCAGCAUUUCUUAACUAUGGGCUCAGUGGAUAUUCACUCAAUCCGGGUUUCAACUCCAUGAUGAUGAAUAACAUGGGUUCAGGUAGCAUGCCUCCUCUGUUUGAAAGUGGUGCAGCAGCAUCUGCUAUAGCUUCACUUGGGUCAGAUUCAAGAAACCUUGGUAGCAAUAUUUCGUCACCACCUGCCUUAAGUCUAUCGGAUCUGCAUAACCUUGGUAGAUCCAAUAAUCAAACAGCCACUGGUCUUCAGUCUCCUCUCUCCGAUCCUUUUUAUGUUCAGUAUUUGAAGACAGCUCAAUAUACAGCGCAGGAAGCAGCCAACUACAGUGAUCCUUACUUGGAAAGAGGUUUCAUGGGUAGUUCGUAUGCUGAUUUAACACCAGUUCAGAAAGCUUAUGUUGAAGCUUUGCUUCAGCAGAAGCAAUAUGGGAUGCCACUUGGUAAAUCAGUAUCCUCAAAUCAUGGUUACUAUAGCAAUCUGGGUUACGGCAUGGGUAUGGCAUACCCUGGAAGCCCUUUGGGAAGUCCUGUUGCUUCCCCAUCAGGUCCUGGCAGUCCAAUUAGGCUCGGUGAGCGGAAUCUGAGGUUUCCUUCUAACACGAGAAGCUUGACUGGUUGGAACGUUGAUCCAAGUGGCUAUAUGAAUGGGAACUUUCCAUCUUCACUUUUGGAUGAAUUCAAAAACAAUAAGGCCAGAAGCUUUGACCUUGCUGAGAUUGCUGGGAAUGUGGUGGAGUUCAGCGCUGACCAAUAUGGAAGUCGUUUCAUACAGCAAAAACUUGAAACUGCGACAGUUGAGGAAAAAAACAUGGUUUUUGAGGAGAUCAUGCCUCACGCUCUCUCAUUGAUGACUGAUGUAUUUGGGAAUUAUGUAGUGCAGAAGGUAUUCGUUACUGAGACACUGUUUUUUGAGCAUGGGAGCUCCACACAACGCAGGGAGUUGGCUGAUAAACUAUUUGGACAUGUACUAACUCUUAGCAUUCAGAUGUAUGGUUGUCGAGUUAUCCAAAAGGCAAUAGAGGUUGUUGAUCUGGACCAGAAGACAAAAAUGGUUACUGAGCUUGAUGGUCAUAUCAUGCGAUGUGUGCGUGAUCAAAAUGGAAACCAUGUUAUCCAGAAAUGUAUUGAGUGUAUACCAGAAGAUUCCAUUCAGUUUAUUAUCUCGACAUUCUAUGGUGAAGUUGUUACACUGUCCACUCACCCCUAUGGCUGCAGAGUCAUACAGAGAGUACUGGAGCAUUGCACUGAUACAAACACACAGCAAAUUGUCAUGGAUGAGAUAUUGCAAUCUGUAUGCAUGCUGGCACAAGACCAGUAUGGAAAUUAUGUUAUCCAGCAUGUUAUGCAGCAUGGGAAGCCUCAUGAGCGGUCUUUUAUUAUUGAAAAGCUAGCUGGACAGAUCAUCCAGAUGAGCCAACAGAAAUUUGCCUCAAAUGUUGUCGAGAAGUGUCUAACAUUUGGAGGACCUUCAGAGCGGGAAGUUAUCAUAAAUGAAAUGCUUGGAACUACUGACGAGAAUGAGCCUCUCCAGGCCAUGAUGAAGGAUCAGUUUGGUAACUAUGUUGUACAAAAAGUACUAGAGACUUGUGAUGAUCAGCAGAGAGAGCUGAUUCUUUCACGAAUAAAGGUUCAUUUAAAUGCGCUGAAGAAAUAUACAUAUGGGAAGCACAUUGUUGCUCGAGUGGAAAAACUUGUUGCUGCUGGUGAGAGGAGGAUUGGACUUCAGUCGUUGCAGUAUCCUUCCUAA
rnacentral:rRNA from 1 species